AAGUAUGUGAGUGUGAUCGUGUGUGAAUGUGGUUUAUUGUGUGAAUGGGUUAGGGAAAAAAAAAAACUACACCGUGAUCUUAUUUGAUCAGAUUGGAGACUGGCCUUGCUCCAAUUUUGAAAUGAUAUAACCCGACAUGCGAGCCUAUUAGGCGAUGUGCAUGAAGCAUUUCGUUAACUCAAGGCCGCCACAAAAGCUUGUGGUCUAGAGAUGAUGAAUUGAUCAGAUAUACUAGUACCGGUAAGUCCCUUCUGGGUCUGUUUUCCGGUCGAUGAGUAUAGAGGCGAUACUGAUCUAU